AUUUAGCCCUGAUAGAAGCGGCAUCCUUUUUUUGCUGCCAUAUAUGGCAAAAAAAGAUAUAGCGUAUAGCAGGAAAUAGC
rnacentral:sRNA from 1 species